rnacentral:lncRNA from 1 species
GUACAAUCAGAGGUUCAACAAAAAUAUUAAAAGGGAAAUUAAAAAAUUACUGAGAAAAAUGACAGUGGAAGCAUCACAUGCCCAAACCUAUGGGAUAUGGCAAGAAGAGUUCAACGAGGGAGGUUUAUGCAUCAAAUAAGUAUAUCAAAAAAGAAGAAAGAUCUCAACUCGGUGUUUCACCUAAGGAACCAGAAAAAUAAGAAAAUACUGAGCCCAGAGUUAGUAGAGGAAAGAAAAUAAUAAAGAUCAGAGAAAGGAAUUAAAAAAACCCCUGAAACUAAUAAUAUAAUUCAAAAAUCAACAAAAAGAAAAACUUGUUUUUGAAAAGAGAAACAAAAUUGACAAAAUAACUCCUCUAGGGGAGCCCAGUGAACUUCAGAAGAUGACAGAGAAAGAAUUCAAAGAAGUGAGUAUAGUAAUAAGUGACCAGGAAAUUGCCUAGAGAAAAAACGAUUGAGGACUUACUAAAUAUCAGAAAUGAAGGGGACAUUACAACUGACACUACAGACAUGCAAAGCAUAAUAAGAGACAUCAUGAGCCAUUUUGUGCCAAUAGGUUGGAUAAUGCAGAAUAUAUGAAUAAAUUCCUUAACACAUAAAUCUACCAAGAUUGAAGUGUGAAGAGAGAAAAUCUAAACAGAACACCAGUGAAUAAGGAAACUUAAUCAGUGAUAAAAUAUUUCCCAUUAAAAGAAAGGUCCAGGACCUGAUGGCCUCACUGUGGAAUUCUAUGAAUUAUUUAUAAAAGAAUUAAUAUCUAUUUAUCUAAAUUUUUAUUUCCAAAACAAUCAAAGAGGGGAGAAUAUUUUAAAAAAUGU